rnacentral:rRNA from 1 species
AGAACGAACGCUGGCGGCAGGCUUAACACAUGCAAGUCGAACGCCCCGCAAGGGGAGUGGCAGACGGGUGAGUAACGCGUGGGAACGUACCCUUUACUACGGAAUAACGCAUGGAAACGUGUGCUAAUACCGUAUGUGCCCUUCGGGGGAAAGAUUUAUCGGUAAAGGAUCGGCCCGCGUUGGAUUAGCUAGUUGGUGGGGUAAAGGCCUACCAAGGCGACGAUCCAUAGCUGGUCUGAGAGGAUGAUCAGCCACAUUGGGACUGAGACACGGCCCAAACUCCUACGGGAGGCAGCAGUGGGGAAUAUUGGACAAUGGGCGCAAGCCUGAUCCAGCCAUGCCGCGUGAGUGAUGAAGGCCCUAGGGUUGUAAAGCUCUUUCACCGGAGAAGAUAAUGACGGUAUCCGGAGAAGAAGCCCCGGCUAACUUCGCGCCAGCAGCCGC